AUUGAACGCUGGCGGCAUGCCUUACACAUGCAAGUCGAACGGUAACAGGUCUUCGGAUGCUGACGAGUGGCGAACGGGUGAGUAAUACAUCGGAACGUGCCUAGUAGUGGGGGAUAACUACUCGAAAGAGUGGCUAAUACCGCAUGAGAUCUACGGAUGAAAGCAGGGGAUCGCAAGACCUUGUGCUACUAGAGCGGCCGAUGGCAGAUUAGGUAGUUGGUGGGAUAAAAGCUUACCAAGCCGACGAUCUGUAGCUGGUCUGAGAGGACGAUCAGCCACAAUGGGACUGAGAAGCGGCCCAGACUCCUACGGGAGGCAGCAGUGGGGAAUUUUGGACAAUGGGCGCAAGCCUGAUCCAGCAAUGCCGCGUGCAGGAUGAAGGCCUUCGGGUUGUAAACUGCUUUUGUACGGAACGAAAAGCCCCGGGUUAAUACCCUGGGGUCAUGACGGUACCGUAAGAAUAAGCACCGGCUAACUACGUGCCAGCCGCCGCGGUAA
rnacentral:rRNA from 1 species